UUUAUGGAGAGUUUGAUCCUGGCUCAGGACGAACGCUGGCGGCGUGCUUAACACAUGCAAGUCGAACGGAAAGGCCUAGCUUGCUAGGUACUCGAGUGGCGAACGGGUGAGUAACACGUGGGUGAUCUGCCUCGUACUUCGGGAUAAGCCUGGGAAACUGGGUCUAAUACUGGAUAGGACCAUGCUUUAGUGUGUGUGGUGGAAAGUUUUUUCGGUACGAGAUGAGCCCGCGGCCUAUCAGCUUGUUGGUGGGGUAAUGGCCUACCAAGGCGUCGACGGGUAGCCGGCCUGAGAGGGUGGACGGCCACAUUGGGACUGAGAUACGGCCCAGACUCCUACGGGAGGCAGCAGUGGGGAAUAUUGCACAAUGGGCGCAAGCCUGAUGCAGCGACGCCGCGUGGGGGAUGACGGCCUUCGGGUUGUAAACCUCUUUCGCUAGGGACGAAGCUUUUUGUGACGGUACCUAGAUAAGAAGCACCGGCUAACUACGUGCCAGCAGCCGCGGUAAUACGUAGGGUGCGAGCGUUGUCCGGAAUUAUUGGGCGUAAAGAGCUCGUAGGUGGUUUGUCGCGUCGUCUGUGAAAUUCCGGGCUUAACUUCGGGCGUGCAGGCGAUACGGGCAUAACUUGAGUGCUGUAGGGAGACUGGAAUUCCUGGUGUAGCGGUGGAAUGCGCAGAUAUCAGGAGGAACACCGAUGGCGAAGGCAGGUCUCUGGGCAGUAACUGACGCUGAGGAGCGAAAGCAUGGGGAGCGAACAGGAUUAGAUACCCUGGUAGUCCAUGCCGUAAACGGUGGCGCUAGGUGUGAGGGUCUUCCACGACUUUCGUGCCGUAGCUAACGCAUUAAGCGCCCCGCCUGGGGAGUACGGCCGCAAGGCUAAAACUCAAAGGAAUUGACGGGGGCCCGCACAAGCGGCGGAGCAUGUGGAUUAAUUCGAUGCAACGCGAAGAACCUUACCUGGGCUUGACAUAUGCAGGAUCGGCGUAGUGAUACGUUUUCCCUUGUGGUCUGUAUACAGGUGGUGCAUGGUUGUCGUCAGCUCGUGUCGUGAGAUGUUGGGUUAAGUCCCGCAACGAGCGCAACCCUUGUCUUAUGUUGCCAGCACGUGAUGGUGGGGACUCAUGAGAGACUGCCGGGGUUAACUCGGAGGAAGGUGGGGAUGACGUCAAAUCAUCAUGCCCCUUAUGUCCAGGGCUUCACACAUGCUACAAUGGUCGGUACAACGCGCUGCGAGCCUGUGAGGGUGAGCGAAUCGCUGAAAGCCGGCCUCAGUUCGGAUUGGGGUCUGCAACUCGACCCCAUGAAGUCGGAGUCGCUAGUAAUCGCAGAUCAGCAACGCUGCGGUGAAUACGUUCCCGGGCCUUGUACACACCGCCCGUCACGUCAUGAAAGUUGGUAACACCCGAAGCCAGUGGCCUAACCCUUGUGGGGGGAGCUGUCGAAGGUGGGAUCGGCGAUUGGGACGAAGUCGUAACAAGGUAGCCGUACCGGAAGGUGCGGCUGGAUCACCUCCUUU
rnacentral:rRNA from 1 species